rnacentral:misc_RNA from 1 species
UGCAAUUAUACAGCAAUAAUAAAUAAAAUCAUUAGCAUUUGUUUUGUAUCCUUGUGAUUAGGAUACUGGCUCAUUAGUAAUCCACUUUUUCAGUAAACAAUCAUAGUUUAUCUACCUGUGGACAAAAAUAUGAUAAAUUCUAUGAAAGAUAUAUUUUUAAUCAACUACCCAAAAUAAGCAAAUUAGAAGACAGUAAGUUAUUUGAUAUAUUGUGUUUCAUUUAUUAAAAAGCAUUUCUAAUGUUUUGUGCA